UAAUACGGAGGAGGCAAGCGUUAUCCGGAAUUAUUGGGCGUAAAGCGUCCGUAGGUGGCUCUUCAAGUCUGCUGUCAAAGAGUGGGGCUUAACCCUGCAAAGGCAGUGGAAACUGAAAGGCUAGAGAUCCGUAGGGGUAGAGGGAAUUCCCGGUGUAGCGGUGAAAUGCGUAGAGAUCGGGAAGAACAUCGGUGGCGAAAGCGCUCUACUGGACGGUAUCUGACACUGAGGGACGAAAGCUAGGGGAGCGAAUGGGAUUAGAUACCCCAGUAGUCCUAGCCGUAAACGAUGGAUACUAGGCGUGGCUUGUAUCGACCCGAGCCGUGCCGGAGCUAACGCGUUAAGUAUCCCGCCUGGGGAGUACGCACGCAAGUGUG
rnacentral:rRNA from 1 species